GACGAACGCUGGCGGCGUGCUUAACACAUGCAAGUCGAACGAAGUGGCGAACGGGUGAGUAACGCGUAAUCAACCUGCCCUUCAGAGGGGGACAACAGUUGGAAACGACUGCUAAUACCGCAUACUGAAGGAGGGGAUUGCGUCUGAUUAUCUCGUUGGAGGGGGCACGGCCCACCAAGGCGAUGAUCAGUAGCCGGUCUUAGAGGAUUAACGGCCAUAUUGGGACUGAGACACGGCCCAGACUCCUACGGGAGGCAGCAUGGGGGAAUCUUCCGCAAUGGGCGAAAGUCUGACGGAGCAACGCCGCGUGAGUGAUGACGGCCUUCGGGUUUUAAAUCUCUGUUAAUCGGGACGCGUUACCGGAAUAGAAAGCCACGGCUAACUACGUGCCAGCAGCCGCGGUAAUUC
rnacentral:rRNA from 1 species